UGAACACAGGUGGCGAUGCGGCGCUAUA
rnacentral:sRNA from 1 species